rfam:Nostoc sp. NIES-3756 DNA, complete genome.
CUUUCAACCCGCCUCUAGCUGGGAGGGGUGUUGAAAC